GAUGAAGAACGCAGCGAAAUGCGAUAAGUAAUGUGAAUUGCAGAAUUCAGUGAAUCAUCGAAUCUUUGAACGCACAUUGCGCCCCUUGGUAUUCCGAGGGGCAUGCCUGUUCGAGCGUCAUUAUAACCCCUCAAGCUCAGCAUGGUGUUGGGGCCUGCCGCACGGGCAGCCCUUAAAAUCAGUGGCGGUGCCAUCUGGCUCUAAGCGUAGUAAUUCUUCUCGCUAUAGAGUCCCGGUGGAUGCUUGCCAUUAACCCCCAAUUUUCUAUGGUUGACCUCGGAUCAGGUAGGGAUACCCGCUGAACUUAAGCAUAUCAAUAAGCGGAGGA
rnacentral:misc_RNA from 1 species